UGGGGAAUAUUGGACAAUGGGCGCAAGCCUGAUCCAGCCAUGCCGCGUGAGUGAUGAAGGCCUUAGGGUUGUAAAGCUCUUUUAUCCGGGACGAUAAUGACGGUACCGGAGGAAUAAGCCCCGGCUAACUUCGUGCCAGCAGCCGCGGUAAUACGAAGGGGGCUAGCGUUGCUCGGAAUCACUGGGCGUAAAGGGCGCGUAGGCGGCGUUUUAAGUCGGGGGUGAAAG
rnacentral:rRNA from 1 species